rnacentral:rRNA from 1 species
UACGGGGGGGGCAAGCGUUGUUCGGAAUUACUGGGCGUAAAGGGCUUGUAGGUGGCCAACUAAGUCAGACGUGAAAUCCCUCAGCUUAACUGGGGAACUGCUUCUGAUACUGGAUGGCUUGAGUUUGGGAGAGGGAUGCGGAAUUCCGAGGUGUAGCGGUGAAAUGCGUAGAUAUCUGGAGGAACACCGGUGGCGAAGGCGGCAUCCUGGACCAACACUGACACUGAAAAGCGAAAGCCAGGGGAGCAAACGGG